rnacentral:lncRNA from 1 species
AUCCAGACUUCCACGACAAUCGAUCUUCGUUCGAGCUUCUACAAUAAGUGGUCUCCAUCUGGGCUUCCACAACAACCGAUCUCCAUCCAAGCUUCUACAGUUAGCGGUCUCCAUCUGGGCUUCCACGGCAACCGAUCUCCAUCCGAGCUUCUACAGUAAAUGGCCUCUUUCCGGACUCCUACAAGAAUCGGACUCCAUCCGAACUUCUACAGCAGAUGGAUUCCAGACGAACUUCUACGAUGGAUGGGCUCCAGCAGUCGGAUUUCUACAGUGACCGACUAUCUCUGGUGUCUUCCA